CUGGAGUGUGGCACCAGUCACUGUGGUCUGCUUCUUCCGCUGCCCCAGGAACAAGAGGACUGGAAGGGACGUUCCUCCUCGCCCCCUUACCAUUCUCUUCCCCUCCACUGCCUGUUCCUUCCAGCUCCUUCCUCCAAAGCCAGAAUGAACUUCUGCUGGCAAGGAGGAACCCAAGUGUUAUGGACAGACUUGACCCUAAAGACACAGGAACCUCAGAAUAACGAGGGGGUGAAUUAAAGGGAAUGCCAGACCCUUGUCCAGAACCAGCCUGAAGAAGCCAGGGUCGGGGAGGAGCAUCCCCCGCCGCUCCACGAAGGACUGGCACGUGGUGGGCAGAGCAAGGAGGCUUUUCAUCCAAGCUCAGAGCUCUGGGGCUUAGCUCCCUGUUGAGGAUGGUCAGAUAACGGGACAGUUCCCCACUCUUCACUGGGAGGCUGAGUCCCCCAGCAGCCUCCCACUAUGGGCUGCGUACUGCCCUGGACAGCGCAGAACUGCUCAUCGGAUCGGGGCUGCUCCAUUCAGCUGAACUGCCACAGGGAGCAAGGCUGAGGACAGGGGCUGAACGGCCCAGCACAGGGCUCCUCUGGCCUCACGGUUCUCGAGAUGAAGCUGAGUCCCGGGCAGGAAAAGCAUUCCUUCUCCCUCAGCCGCUGACUGGUCUCCACCUCUGCGCUGAUGUUGGCAUCGUGCUGAGGCCCAGAUCGGUGUCCUCUUCAAUCUGAAUCAACGAUGAUCAUGUGAUUUUUAUUUCUGCCCCGCGGGGUAAGGGAAGAGUCUUCCAGAAGUUUCUGCCUUGGACAUUCAUAAUUCAGCUCAGAGGCUUCGCCCUGCCCCUCCCUCCCUGCCUCCUAAUCACUGCAGUAUCCAGCCCCAUGUUGAAUGGAUUGUAGUGUUUUGUCUCAUUACAAACAAAUAAACAGACUUCCAUUGGUCA